AGAGUUUGAUCAUGGCUCAGGAUGAACGCUAGCGGGAGGCCUAACACAUGCAAGCCGAGCGGUAUUGUUUCUUCGGAAAUGAGAGAGCGGCGUACGGGUGCGGAACACGUGUGCAACCUGCCUUUAUCUGGGGGAUAGCCUUUCGAAAGGAAGAUUAAUACCCCAUAAUAUAAGAAACGGCAUCGUUUUUUAUUGAAAACUCCGGUGGAUAGAGAUGGGCACGCGCAAGAUUAGAUAGUUGGUGAGGUAACGGCUCACCAAGUCUACGAUCUUUAGGGGGCCUGAGAGGGUGAUCCCCCACACUGGUACUGAGACACGGACCAGACUCCUACGGGAGGCAGCAGUGAGGAAUAUUGGACAAUGGGUGAGAGCCUGAUCCAGCCAUCCCGCGUGAAGGACGACGGCCCUAUGGGUUGUAAACUUCUUUUGUAUAGGGAUAAACCUACUCUCGUGAGAGUAGCUGAAGGUACUAUACGAAUAAGCACCGGCUAACUCCGUGCCAGCAGCCGCGGUAAUACGGAGGGUGCAAGCGUUAUCCGGAUUUAUUGGGUUUAAAGGGUCCGUAGGCGG
rnacentral:rRNA from 1 species